rnacentral:misc_RNA from 1 species
UCUCCGUAGGUGAACCUGCGGAGGGAUCAUUACAGAGUUCUCGCCCUCACGGGUAGAUCUCCCACCCACUGUUAUCAUUACUGUCGUUUCUUUGGCGGGCCGCCGGGCCCCCGGCCGCCGGCGCCUAGCUGCCGGCGCGCGCCCGCCAGAGGCCUUCAAACUCUGAAUGUUAGUGUCGUCUGAGUACUAUAUAAUAGUUAAAACUUUCAACAACGGAUCUCUUGGUUCUG